GAUAAACGCUAGCGGCAGGCUUAACACAUGCAAGUCGAGGGGCAGCAUAGAUUGUAGCAAUACAAUUGGUGGCGACCGGCGCACGGGUGCGUAACGCGUAUGCAACCUACCCGUCACAGGGGGAUAAUCCGGAGAAAUCUGGUCUAAUACCCCAUAACAUAUGGAUCGGCAUCGGUUCAUGUUGAAAUUUUCGGAGGUGACGGAUGGGCAUGCGUAGCAUUAGCUUGUUGGUGAGGUAACGGCUCACCAAGGCGACGAUGCUUAGGGGGACUGAGAGGUUUUCCCCCCCACACUGGUACUGAGACACGGACCAGACUCCUACGGGAGGCAGCAGUGAGGAAUAUUGGUCAAUGGGCGCAAGCCUGAACCAGCCAUGCCGCGUGCAGGAUGACGGCUCUAUGAGUUGUAAACUGCUUUUGUACGAGGGUAAAGUGGGUUACGUGUAACCUUUUGAAAGUAUCGUACGAAUAAGGAUCGGCUAACUCCGUGCCAGCAGCCGCCGUAA
rnacentral:rRNA from 1 species